rnacentral:sRNA from 1 species
CGGGUGAGUGGCGCUCGCGUUCGGGCGCGAGAGACCCAUCCCAGGGACCCGUCUCCGCGGGGCAGCUGGAGGGCGGCGGGGCUCCUGGCGCCGGUAGCGCACCUGGGCAGGUGUGCCAGCCAGAUUCCCGGUUCUGGGAUCCGAGGCCAUGGCUUGGAGUGGCCCAAACCCGAACUUCGCUCCUGUGCCCAAACUUGGAACUCUGGAAAUGUGGCUUCGCCCACUGGCGCCUUGAGCUUGGGCGACUGCCGGUCCCGCGAAACCCGACCCCUGCAGAGCUGACUCCGGGACUAUUUUAGUUUCUAACGUCAACUUGCCCGAUUCAAGAGGAUUUGCGCAGAAAACGUAGCCCAUUGUCCCCCUGCUGCAGCUGUUGUUGCAGCUGUGUAGCUACGUUUAGUAGGAAUAACCAACUCAAAUUGGGAAGUUCUUCAGCUCAGUAUCCGCUCCUGUAAUUAGAACUUUUUUUCUUUAAGCGAUGAAAUUUUGGACAGAGAAGUCUGGAGUUUAGUUUGUGGCUCAAAGAAAAACUCCAAAAUGUAAUACCUUGUCCCAUUUGAGGGGAAAGUUUGGGCUAAUUCAAUUCGCCAUGGAAGUGUUUUCUUUUUAAAGUAGUUUAGUAGGUACAUGAAUGUAUCUAUCAGUUCUUGAGAGACAUAUAGAUUUAGCAGAGAUUUUAACUUAAGUGCAAAAAGUUUUAUAUUUAAAGGCGAAUAAAGCGAAUAUUUCUUAAAAUGA